CAGCCGUAAACAAUGUGCGUUAGGUGUGUCGGUAACCACGCGUUACUGAUGCGCCGAAGAGAAAUCGUGAAACGCACCACCUGGGAAGUACGGUCGCAAGGCUGAGACUUAAAGGAAUUGGCGGGGGAGCACCACAACAGGUGGAGCCUGCGGUUUAAUUGGAUUCAACGCCGGACAUCUCACCGGAUAAGACAGCUGAAUGAUUGUCAAUCUGAAGGUUUUACAUGACUAGCUGAGAGGAGGUGCAUGGCGUCAGUGACU
rnacentral:rRNA from 1 species